rnacentral:lncRNA from 10 species
UUAAAUAAAAAACUUCAGGGAAAUGGGUGAAUGCAAGAGAUAAUGGAAUACAUAGUUAUCUUCCCAUUUAUUCAGGCAAGAGAUAGUCAUAGGAAGUACCAGAAGUUAAAUACAUACUACUUUAAAAACAUAUGGCAUGGUAGGAAGAGCACUGGCCUAGGAAUCAGAAAAUUUGUGUUUUAUUUAAAGUUCUGCUAGUUGACAGCCAUAUACUCUUGGGUAAGCCAUUUAUCUCCCUUGAGCCUUGAUUUCUGCAUCUGCAGUGUAGGAAUAAGUGUAUCUGCUCUCCUUAACUAAGAGACGGUUAUUGGGAGGAUCAGACAGAAUAAGGUGAAGGUAAUGCAUAAAUGGAAAGGAUGAUAAAAUAUAUACGAAUAUUAUUGUUAAAGUUUGUAAAAUCACGUGUUCAUAGUAGAGCGAAUAUAACUAGUGGGUUAUAAUAAUAUUAGCUUAUGAUUUCCAAAUAAAUUAUAAGAUAGAUAGCUAUAUAAGUUGUCCACUAACAGUACUGAAGUCUUACUAAAUGUGGAAAAUACUGUAACAUCUUUGGAUAGGAAUAUAGUUAAUUUUAAAAAAUAGUUAUAUGGAUGUAUUAUAAUUACCUGGUCUAUAACAAAACAUAUAAAAAUGGACUAAGGAAAUCCCAAAAUUAGACCGUUACUGAAAUGGGGACUUUAUUUAGACUCAUAGACUCCCUGAUUAAAUGUGCAAAAAAAUUUCUCUUCUGAGUUCUAAGGAGCUGUCAUAUUCUGGGUGCUUCUACCUUUUCAACAUGGGCAAAACUAAAGUAUAAAUCUAGACUUGGCUGUUUGAAAGCCUCCUCUCUUCUAUCUGAUUAGUCAUCACAUCCCCUCUAUUCUAUUUCCUUAGUAUUUCUGAAAUUUAUGACCUUUUCUACAUCCCCAGUACUUGUUCGUUCCGUCAUAUUUUCUUGCUUGGUCUUUUGAAAUCACUUUCUAACUGAUCUCUUUACUUCUAGUUUUACUGGAUUACACUUCAUUUUGUUACAAUAAUGGCUAUUUCUGAAAUACAAUGUUAAUUAUGUCAUUUCCUUGCUAAAAAUUCUAUAUUGGUUUCCUACAGCAAUGAUGCUCUUAAAAUGAAAGUCUUAUUUGAAACCACAGUAAAUAACAUCUAUUCAAACAAAAAAAUGUGGCAACUCAUGGGCACACAUUUGUUUCAGAAAUUAUAAGAAUAAAUUAUACAGCCAAUUGAUAAAAAAACUUUUUAUAUUUGUUUUUUAUUGUGUAAUAUCGCCCAUAGGAAGGUAGUAGGAUGUUCGCUAGCCUUAAAAAAGUGAAAGUAUAAAGCUGUACCCUUCAUAAUAAACAAAAUAUCUAUGAGAUGUUCAAAGUCAUAGAAAUGGCAGAAGAAACUUUGGUUCAAGGUCAGCCAAAAAAAAAAAAAAGUUAAUGCAUUGGGUUACUGCAAUCGUUCAGAAUGUGUAUACAUUGGAAUGCCUGCAUUGUCCAGGUAUUUGUGAAAUACAUGAACUGCCUUUCCUGAACUUGAAUUCUGUGAAAUACAAUUUGAAACUAUUGCUCUAUAAAAUAAAUUUCAAAUUGCUUACCUUGAUGGGUAUAGAGUUUCCUUCAGAAGAGAUUCCUGUUUACCUUUCCAUUUUUAUUUGCUUGAUUCCCUAAGUAUACUGCAUUCCCUAAAAGAUACCAUAUUUUCUCAUAUCUCAAUGCCUUCUCUCAUUCUUUCGUUUCUGACUAGAAUACCUUUUCUACUUUCAUACGAUUGGAUAAUUCCCAGCCAUCUUUUACCUCAUAAUUCAAACAUCACCUCUAUGAGACUAGCUCUGACCACUGCCACCUCAACUACCCACCAGGGUUCUUUUUUUUCUUUUUUAAAAACCUAUUCUAUGUUUUUCUGUAGCAUCUGGCAUAUACCUAUAGUGUGAAUUUAGCAUCUUCCUGUGAUUAAAAAAGUUUCUUAAAAAUCUGUCACUGCCGUUAUACUAUGAACUCUUUGAAAAGCAAAUAAUUUUUUUUUCUUGUUUCCUUCUUAUUGCUAGGGUAUACACUAUCU